rnacentral:rRNA from 1 species
UACGUAGGGUGCAAGCGUUGUCCGGAAUUAUUGGGCGUAAAGAGCUCGUAGGCGGUUCGUCGCGUCGGCUGUGAAAACCCGGAGCUCAACUCCGGGCCUGCAGUCGAUACGGGCGGACUUGAGUGUUGCAGGGGAGACUGGAAUUCCCGGUGUAGCGGUGAAAUGCGCAGAUAUCGGGAAGAACACCCGUGGCGAAGGCGGCUCUCUGGGACGGUACUGACGCUGAGACGCGAAAGCGUGGGGAGCGAACAGG